UUUUCCACACUUUUAACAGAAAAAUACGCCACUCACAUAAUUCACCACCGUACAGAAUAUAUUCUGAUUUAUUGCGAGCAACACAACCUGAUGUUGUUGCAGUUGUAGUAAUUUCCAGCCUGUCCUUGUUUGUCCUGCCUUUGCCGCUCCUCUGAGUUCCCUGUUUGACAUAAAAAAAUGGAUGCAGGAAAUGAAAUUGUUUUAAAAGUUUUAUCCGGCCUGUACAGCUCAUCUACUAACUGGAGGGUUGAUGGUGCGAUCCCUGGCUGCUCCGGCCUGCGUGCCAAAUAUCCUCGGGCAAGACAUUAACCCUAAGUUUCCCUCUAUUCAUGCACAUGUUGAGCAUGAGUGCUGGAGGAGAUGUGGGUUACAUUGUGUUGCUAAAGCAGUUAGUGGAACAUCAGUCGACGGUUAAGUAUAACAGUGAAGUUAGCUGGUAGCAGCUAGGUUGUUUGGACUGUGUUGACAGCAGAGUCAGGCUGCACAGUGUUUCUCAGAGCAUCUUUUUGCCUCUUUAAACUGUUUUGGUGAAGUAACUCUGUGAGAGACUACGGAGAUUAAAAAUAAAAAGGGACAUGCCACGCACACUUGAUGAUGCCAUUUCCUCUUUCACUUCAGGUUCAGCAGCAUUACCGCGCAACAUGGCAUUCUUAACAAGUAAGCGAGACAGGGAGCCAGGUGACAGUCAGCGUUUGCCUUCCUGUCACAAGGCUCCAGCUGAGGAGAAGAAAAUCAGGAUGUUAUGUAGAAAAACAGUGCACAGUGACUCCAGGUCACUGAAGAGGAGGCCUGCCAGCCCUGCUGUGCUCAGAUCCACCUGCCCUUUAACAGCUCGAGCACAGAGAAGGAUGGACAGGGAUGAAAGAGAAGGGAAGCAACAGAAGAAGGGAGUGGAGGGGGACAGGCGAGAGGGCGCUCAGAUACACCUCCUGAGACCUCGCCAGCACUUACUUCAUGUCAAGAGGGCUAACAAGGUCUGGUCAUGCUUUACUACACGUUUGCUUGUGUGAAAAGUGUGCUGUUGUAUCAUCGGUAUGGAAACCAAACACUAAUAAACAUACAGGUCCUUUUAA